rnacentral:rRNA from 1 species
CGGGGAAUAUUGGGCAAUGGGGGCAACCCUGACCCAGCGACGCCGCGUGGGGGAAGACGGUCUUCGGGUUGUAAACCUCUUUUGUACGGGAAGAAGGAAGUGACGGUACUGUACGAAUAAGUCCCGGCUAACUACGUGCCAGCAGCCGCGGUAAUACGUAGGGGACGAGCGUUGUCCGGAAUUACUGGGCGUAAAGGGCGCGCAGGCUGUGCUGCAAGUCAGCUGUUAAAUGUCUGGGCUUAACCCGGGCAUGCGGUUGAGACUGCAGUGCUGGAGUGCUGUAGAGGCAAGUGGAAUUCCCAGUGUAGCGGUGAAAUGCGUAGAUAUUGGGAAGAACACCGAUGGCGAAGGCGACUUGCUGGGCAGCAACUGACGCUGAGGCGCGAAAGCCAGGGGAGCAAACGG